AAGGGAGACCUAAUUCGGGUAUAAGACGAAAAAAGAGUAGUCGAAACCAAGAAUCAAUCCCAAAAGGUCGGAACGAGGUAUGUGGCUUUCAAACUAGGUUCUGGGUUCACACAAGACCUGAAUCAGGAACAAGGGCUAUUAGCUCAGGUGGUUAGAGCGUACCCCUGAUAAGGGUGAGGUCCCUGGUUCGAGUCCAGGAUGGCCCACCUGCACAGGUGGCAAAAACAAAGAAGCGAGGAAUCAGCACCUUAUCUUAUCUAUAUAUAAGAGAGAAUGCUGGCUCUGAGUAAAGAGUCCAGAGGAACCUUGAAAACUGCAUAGAGCUAGGUGAAAAAGCCAAAAAAGAAGACCGCAA
rnacentral:tRNA from 1 species